AUUCGCUUCAAAUUCCUGUUUAUUUGUCUUCCGCGUCCAAAUUCGAGCGAUGAGCAGGAGCAGAAUUUGCCAAUUUGCUCAAUCCGCGACCUCUGCAACUGCUUUUAUCCUACAAACUUAACAAAUCGCAUCAAAUUCAUCGAGGUCUGAACUUGGCUGUGCAGCUACCCAGCUACUGCUCCAUCUUCCUGGACCGGGUCCUCAAGUCAAGCUCGCUCGCUCUCUCUCUCUCUCUCUCUCUCUCUCUCACCACCGGGCGCCCGUCGCGGCCGCCACAGGCCAGCCCAGCAGCAGCAGCAGCCAGGCAGCCAUGGUGGAGAGGCCGCAGCGGAGGAAGCCGCUGGUGCUCGCCUCCACGCAGGCGCUCCUCGACUCGCUCCCGGGGGACCGCCCGCCGCCGCCGCCGCAGGAGCCGGUGCGCCUCCGGGCCGGCGUCCUCCGCUUCCCGUCGUGGGGCGGCGCCGAGUUCGGGGAGCUCGCAACCUUCGUCGCCCUCCCCGCGCCAGCGCUCCGAAGGCUCGCGGUCGUCACCGGCACGCCUGUGCUUGUCAAGAAUGCUGACAAUAAUGUCGGGAGAAUUGUUAAAGCAAUAUUACUUGAUCGCCCAUCUCUUGACGAGUCUGGGACAGAACAGACUGAUCAUGCGGCAUCUGCCUCUCCUCAUGGUCGUGCUAUGGGUAUCUUACCUUUUCGUUCGUUUCCUGCUACUGGUUUUGCAUCUGUGGAUGAAGAUAUCGCUUAUGUCAGCCCACUUUUGGCAUUCAACUUGGGAUUGCAUGUUUCUUGUCUGAAGCUUCUUAUCCAAAAAGGACAGGAGCCUUUCAAGUUUUGUUCUCGAUCUGAAGAGCUUCAUUCUGCUUCCAAUGCUGGGAGUGAUCUUUCCCUUCACUUAGACCUUCUUCCAUGUGCUCAAGUUCCUAAAUAUGCUUCACAUUUACGGGUUUCUGUUGUGAGGAUUCCUGAAUGUGGUGUGCUUGCUUCUUUAAAGAUAAAUUCAUCCUUUGGAGAAAGUGACUACCAAGACAUGGUGGAUCAAGCUUUGAACGAGUACUUUAAGUUUGAUAGGUUCCUAGCAAGAGGGGAUGUCUUUUGCAUACGGAACAAUUGGAAUUGUGGCAUGAGCUCCUGUCUAGCAUGCAAUAGGCAGGAUGAUAAUUUGCGUCCUCGUAAUAUGAUCUACUUUAAGGUGACAAGCAUGGAACCAUCAGAUGAACCUAUUCUUCGUGUUAAUUGCAAUGAGACAGCCCUUGUGCUUGGGGGAGCUGCUUCUGCUGCAAUCCCCCCUUACUCCUUCUUUGCUGCUUCUGGUGACUCACUUCCUUUGCAUGGUGAAAUAGUGGAGCAUUUAGCCUCUAUCAUUGCCCCAGCAUUAUGCCCUUCAGAUAUAUUACCAAAAAUCAAGUUUUCCACUUUUAUAUACGGCCCUUCAGGAUGCGGAAAGCGCACAGUGGUGAGGCAUGUUGCUAGCCAUCUUGGUCUGCACGUGGUUGAGUGUAGCUGUCAUGAUCUCAUGACUUCGUCAGAAAGUGGUGCACCUGCUGCACUUACAGCUGCCUUCAAAGAAUCUCAGAAGUAUUCCCCUUGUAUAAUGCUUCUUCGACACUUUGAUGCAAUUGGGAAUGCAUCCUCCAAUGAGGGCCCAGAAUCUGAGCAAUCUGGGAUUGCGUCAAACAUUGAAUCUGUUAUCAAGCAGUACACUGGACAAAGUUGGGCUGCUACGGACUCGAUGCCAGGAAGAGAUGUAAAUGGGAUCUCAUACCCUGUGGAGCCUGAAUAUGUAAGCUCUCUUCAGAUUAUACUAAUUGCAACUGCAGACAGUUCUGAAGGAAUGCAACAAUCAAUUAGGCGAUGUUUCCGCCAUGAGAUUGACAUGAAGACUAUGAAUGAAGAGCAGAGAAAGAAACUGAUAUCUGAGACACUUCAAGGCAUUGCAACAGUUGCAGAUGAGAGUAUUGAUGACAAGUUCGUAAAAGACUUAGCAGCACAAACGUCAGGAUUCAUGCCGAGAGACAUACUUGCACUGGUUGCAGAUUCUGGUGUGUCUUUUGCACAUAAAAUUGCAGCAGAGAAAGAUAGCAAAGGAAUCAGUGAUCAUGAGGAGAUCCUUCCAGAAAGCUCUUCUGCCACUCAAAAUGAGGAAAUACAUUUCUGCAAAGAAUAUAUUCUGUGUUCCUUGGAACGAGCUAAGAAAAGGAAUCGUGCUGCACUGGGCACACCCAAAGUUCCCAAUGUCAAAUGGGAGGAUGUUGGUGGGCUAGAGGAAGUGAAAAAGGUUAUUCUAGAUACUAUUCAGUUGCCACUGAUGUACAAACACCUUUUUUCUUCUAAAUUGCGGAAGCGAUCAGGUGUCCUGCUUUAUGGACCUCCAGGAACAGGGAAGACCUUAUUGGCGAAAGCAGUAGCUACUGAAUGCUCGUUGAACUUUCUUAGCGUGAAAGGUCCAGAACUGAUAAACAUGUAUGUUGGAGAAUCAGAGAAGAAUGUUAGGGACAUUUUUGAGAAGGCUAGAUCUGCACGCCCUUGUGUCAUUUUCUUUGAUGAGCUUGAUUCCCUAGCUCCAGCACGAGGAUCCUCGGCAGAUUCUGGUGGUGUUAUGGACAGAGUUGUUUCCCAGUUACUUGUGGAGAUAGAUGGGUUGAGCGAUAACAGCCAGGACCUUUUCAUUAUUGGGGCUACCAAUAGGCCCGACCUUCUUGAUUCUGCUCUUCUUCGCCCUGGACGGUUUGAUAAGCUUCUCUAUGUUGGUGUAAAUACUGAUGCAUCAUACAGGGAAAGUUGCUCAGCGUUGUCCUCCAAACUUUACCGGUGCCGAUAUUUAUGCACUGUGUGCAGAUGCAUGGUUUCAUGCAGCAAAGAGAUCCGUUAAAACAUUUGAAAUUGAUCCUUCAAGAAAUAACGAUGUCAGCGCUGAAGAGGUCAUUGUUGAGAUUGAUGAUUUUAUGACGGUAUUAGGAGAUAUAUCACCAUCACUAUCACUGGAGGAGCUUCAGAACUACGAACAGUUGAGGCAGAAGAUUGAAGGGCCUUCUAGAUGAUGAUGUUAGCAGUAAUAUUUUAUUUCCCAUUGAUGAUUUUGUCCCACCAGAGACACCCAAGAUGGUGCCAUGACGACCCGUUCAGAUCAGGCUCUAGAGUUUCGCUGGAAAAAAGGAAAACAAAUAACUAUCGAUGCAUUUGUCCCAUAUGCAAUCUGACUGUGUGCAGACUUUUUGAUGGGACAUUUCAGGUAUUAUACCACCACUCACCCUGCUGGUAAACCAAGCUCGAGUCAGCUCGUCAAGUCAACACAUUGUUAUAUACAAAAAGAAAUGAAAAAAAUAGUAACGUUCUCAAGUGGCCUCA